UACAGAGGUCCCGAGCGUUGUUCGGAUUUAUUGGGCGUAAAGGGUGCGUAGGCGGCGGAGUAAGUUGGGUGUGAAAUCCCGGGGCUCAACCUCGGAAUGGCAUUCAAUACUGCUUCGCUAGAGUACUGGAGAGGAGGCUGGAAUUUACGGUGUAGCAGUGAAAUGCGUAGAUAUCGUAAGGAAGGCCGGUGGCGAAAGCGAGCCUCUGGACCCUUCCUGACGCUGAGUGCGCGAAAGCUAGGGGAGCAAACGGG
rnacentral:rRNA from 1 species